AACCAUAGCUAGGGGUGCCUAUUCAGUGAACAGUGAACAGUGAACAGUGAGCAGUAAACAGUAAACAAUUCAUUAUUAAUCUGGCAAGCCACAAUAGAUUAUCACUGAAUUAAAUAACUGAUAACUGAUAACUGAUAGCUAAUAACUGUACAAAGGCUGAGAAAUACUCUUAGAACCUGAGACUGGUUCGUACCAGCGUAGGGAAGCUGUUUAUUGAGGAA
rnacentral:ncRNA from 1 species